AUGAUAUGACCCACUGAAACUUCCUGCAUAGUUUGGAAGCAGGGUUGAGCUAACAUUUUCAGGAAAUUUACAAGUGUUAUAUCAGUGAAUAGUGGCAGAUACAUUUGUUCCUCUACAAUCUGGUAAAUCAUAACUAAAGUAUGAAUGAGGGGGAGUGAGGCUUUAUGGACUAAAUUUCAAAAUACAUGAAAGGCCUUGCAUAGAUUACAGGACAAGGUGCUCUCCUGCCUGCUUUGGGCAUCAAUUUUGAUUCAAAUACUUACAUGAAUUAAAUGGUUUCUGAACCAUGAGCAACAUACCAUAUAUCAGCUUGUCUGACAUUUAUGAGAUAUAAUGGGAUAAAAGGGAAAUCUCAUGUAUCAAUGGCAAACAAAGCCAUCACUACUAACCGAUCGUUGUCUGAAUCCCAUAACAUACCAAAGGAUUGUUAUUGAUAAUGUGCAUUAUGGUAGCAGACUAACCAUUGUCAAGUGGAUACCUCCAGCAGGAGAAUAAGCUACCAGAAAAUGAUUAAUG